rnacentral:rRNA from 1 species
CUAGCGGCAGGCCUAAUACAUGCAAGUCGGACGGGAUCUAGAUCUAAGCUUGCUUAGAUUUAGUGAGAGUGGCGCACGGGUGCGUAACGCGUGAGCAACCUACCCAUAUCAGGGGGAUAGCCCGGAGAAAUCCGGAUUAACACCGCAUGACACAACGACUCGGCAUCGAGAUGUUGUUAAAUAUUUAUAGGAUAUGGAUGGGCUCGCGUGACAUUAGCUAGUUGGUAAGGUAACGGCUUACCAAGGCUACGAUGUCUAGGGGCUCUGAGAGGAGAAUCCCCCACACUGGUACUGAGACACGGACCAGACUCCUACGGGAGGCAGCAGUAAGGAAUAUUGGUCAAUGGAGGGAACUCUGAACCAGCCAUGCCGCGUGCAGGAUGACUGCCCUAUGGGUUGUAAACUGCUUUUGUCCAGGAAUAACUACCACUACGUGUAGUGGCUUGAAUGUACUGGAAGAAUAAGGAUCGGCUAACUCCGUGCCAGCAGCCGCGGUAAUACGGAGGAUCCGAGCGUUAUCCGGAUUUAUUGGGUUUAAAGGGUGCGUAGGCGGCUCAUUAAGUCAGGGGUGAAAGACGGCAGCUCAACUGUCGCAGUGCCUUUGAUACUGAUGAGCUUGAAUGUGGUUGAAGAUGGCGGAAUGAGACAAGUAGCGGUGAAAUGCAUAGAUAUGUCUCAGAACUCCGAUUGCGAAGGCAGCUGUCUAAGUCAUUAUUGACGCUGAUGCACGAAAGCGUGGGGAUCGAACAGGAUUAGAUACCCUGGUAGUCCACGCCCUAAACGAUGAUAACUCGAUGUUGGCGAUACACAGUCAGCGUCUUAGCGAAAGCGUUAAGUUAUCCACCUGGGGAGUACGCCCGCAAGGGUGAAACUCAAAGGAAUUGACGGGGGCCCGCACAAGCGGAGGAGCAUGUGGUUUAAUUCGAUGAUACGCGAGGAACCUUACCCGGGCUUGA